UGGGGAAUAUUGCACAAUGGGCGCAAGCCUGAUGCAGCCAUGCCGCGUGUGUGAAGAAGGCCUUCGGGUUGUAAAGCACUUUCAGCGGGGAGGAAGGCGGUGAGGUUAAUAACCUCAUCGAUUGACGUUACCCGCAGAAGAAGCACCGGCUAACUCCGUGCCAGCAGCCGCGGUAAUACGGAGGGUGCAAGCGUUAAUCGGAAUUACGGGGCGUAAAGCGCACGCAGGCGGUCUGUCAAGUCGGAUGUGAAAUCCCCGGGCUCAACCUGGGAACUGCAUUCGAAACUGGCAGGCUAGAGUCUUGUAGAGGGGGGUAGAAUUCCAGGUGUAGCGGUGAAAUGCGUAGAGAUCUGGAGGAAUACCGGUGGCGAAGGCGGCCCCCUGGACAAAGACUGACGCUCAGGUGCGAAAGCGUGGGGAGCAAACAGG
rnacentral:rRNA from 1 species